AAGAAAACUUUUAUUGGAAACAGCAAAUAAUCUUACAUAAAUACACUAACUUAUCUCAUAGAUAUAUAGAAAAAAAUAUAUAUAUAUAUACAGAGCCGUUUUUUCUUCUCAAAAAACUUAACAAUAAUAAUGAUGGAGAAAUGAAUUACCUUCUAACCAAAACGCUUUUCUAAACUUGAACAUAUAAGAUGGUUUCACAUUUAAAUUAUUUUGCACACUACACCGUGGAAGAAGAUGUCAUGUCAUGCCACCCAUCUCUCAAUUUGGUUAUCUUCUUCUUCUUCUUCUUCUUUUUCUGAAUUGAAAGCCCCAAAACAUUUGCAUCCAUUUUGUUUCUAUAUGAUUCUCGCAAACUCAUGUGGUCAUUUUGUAGCAGCGGGUGUGCAUGGAAAAUGUAAGAAGAUAAGACCAAGUAAAACGCAACAAAACGGCCAAAGGUUUAUUGAUAUUCAUACCAGCGAUUGGGUGGACCAAACUCAGUGAGUCGUGAGGGGUUAACAGCGUCCAUCACAUUAGGUAUCACAAAAGUCUCAACUUUCAUUAUUUACGUCAUUCUUUCGUUUCUCUGGUAGACGUAUUUAGAUGAAAGAAUGGAGGAUCUAAGAUUAUGAGAAAGGAAAGAAGAAGAAGAAUUUAAACCUGUUUUUAUCUUCUUGAGAAUGGCUUAUACGGUUGCUCUUGAGAUCGUAAAUUAACUGGCAGAGGGUUUGAAAGAUGGGAGAGAAAGUAAAGAAUCUUAAUAACGUGGAAGAAGUAGUUGCUGAAAAAGUGGUUAAAAAAAUUUAAAUUUAUCUU
rnacentral:sRNA from 1 species